GACGAACGCUGGCGGCGUGCUUAACACAUGCAAGUCGAACGGAAAGGCCCUGCUUUUGUGGGGUGCUCGAGUGGCGAAGGGGGGAGUAACACGUGAGUAACCUGUACUUGACUUUGGGAUAACUUCAGGAAACUGGGGCUAAUACCGGAUAGGAGCUCCUGCUGCAUGGUGGGGGUUGGAAAGUUUCGGCGGUUGGGGAUGGACUCGCGGCUUAUCAGCUUGGUGGGUUGGUAGUGUCUUACCAAGGCUUUGACGGGUAGCCGGCCUGGGAGGGUGACCGGCCACAUUGCGCUGGGGAUACGGCCCGGACUCCUACGGGAGGCAGCAGUGGGGAAUAUUGCACAAUGGGCUGAAGCCUGAUGCAGCAACGCCGCGUGCGGGAUGACGGCCUUCGGGUUGGAAUCCACUUUCGCCUGUGACGAAGCGUGAGUGACGGUAAUGGGUAAAGAAGCACCGGCUAACUACGUG
rnacentral:rRNA from 1 species